CAGACGCUGAAAACUUUCGCUUUUGAAUCUAGGACGUGCUUAUGACCCUAUGCUAUUCAAAGCUCUCAUCAAGUUUCUGUCUGUUAUGAGGGAUCGACAGUGUGGUAAGCUAAAGAACAGGCGUAGUUUAAGGAAAUCGUCCGAAAAUAUGAUUCAUAAUGCAGAUCCGGAAGAUGUUCAUCCAGAUCAUUUACCAGAUUCGCUGAAUGUUAUUUUGAUCAAUGAUGAAUCAUCCAUAUUCUCUGCAUCAAAGAGUUCUUUUCG